rnacentral:rRNA from 1 species
UGAUGUGGGGGAUAACCAUUGGAAACGAUGGCUAAUACCGCAUAAUAGCUUCGGCUCAAAGAGGGGGACCUUCGGGCCUCUCGCGUCAGGAUAUGCCCAGGUGGGAUUAGCUAGUUGGUGAGGUAAUGGCUCACCAAGGCGACGAUCCCUAGCUGGUCUGAGAGGAUGAUCAGCCACACUGGAACUGAGACACGGUCCAGACUCCUACGGGAGGCAGCAGUGGGGAAUAUUGCACAAUGGGCGCAAGCCUGAUGCAGCCAUGCCGCGUGUAUGAAGAAGGCCUUCGGGUUGUAAAGUACUUUCAGCAGUGAGGAAGGUGGUGUCGUUAAUAGCGGCAUCAUUUGACGUUAGCUGCAGAAGAAGCACCGGCUAACUCCGUGCCAGCAGCCGCGGUAAUACGGAGGGUGCGAGCGUUAAUCGGAAUUACUGGGCGUAAAGCGCAUGCAGGUGGUUUGUUAAGUCAGAUGUGAAAGCCCGGGGCUCAACCUCGGAAUUGCAUUUGAAACUGGCAGACUAGAGUACUGUAGAGGGGGGUAGAAUUUCAGGUGUAGCGGUGAAAUGCG